rnacentral:lncRNA from 1 species
UGUGCAUUUAAAUUUGUGUGGUAUAUGCUGUGUUAUGUAACUGUGUUAUUUACAGAUAUUGUCUAGCUGAAUUCUUGAUAUUCUUUUACAAGCAUGUACAAGGUCCUGAAUAUAUGAAACCAUCACACUUAAAAGCAUGUGCAUACAUAUUCCCAGAAUUUCCAUCGUUGAUAAAUAUAACAAGGAAAGAGAAAUGAAUAAACAAGUUUGGAUCUUAAUCAGAGCAUCACUGGGGUGACUGAAAAUCAUAGAAAUUGACAUAUCCUACCACCAAAAAUCAAUCAUCACAUAAAGCUCAUAAUGUGUAGUUGAUGACAGUAAGAAAAUGAUCUUUUUUAAUUCCAGCUCAUGAUGGUCAACAGCAUUUACCCCUAGUGCAGUUUCCUUUUUAAACAUGAAAUCUUCAUGCAUUCUGGAAAAAUAAAAAUACAGAGACAAUCAAGAGAUACUGUGGUUUACAGAAAAUUGCUUCAUGUAGUAUUGGAGACCCACGGAAGCUGGUUUUAGUUUAGACCCUUCAGUCAGUGAAUAUAAUAUUCAUAUUGGAGCAAGAUUUAAAUCUCCUGCACUGUAAUACUCUUCAGGAAAUACACCUACCGUGUGGAGAGAUUUCAGAAGAAAGUAUUAGAGAGCACAGAAGUAUGUCUUUGAUGAAGGAGAGGCAUAUGAAAGCACUUUCAAGUCUUGCCCUUCAAAAGGUGGAAAUAAUCUCUUCUUCCUAUUAUGGUACAUAGGACAAGAAGUUGCUCAUUUAAAUUGCUGUAAAAGAGAUACGAUCUACAA